AUGCUGUGAUGUACUUAAUUCAACACAUCAUUCUUACUGUGAAGUGAAGAAAUUUUCCACUUAUAAUACUGAGCAUA